AAAUACUAAUAUUAAAUAAGUUUCCAUGUUAUAUGGAAUCGAGGGAAGCUGGUGAAAAUCCAGCACGGUCCCGCCACUGUAAUGGAGAGCCUUUUUACAAAUGCCACUGGUUAAACUGGGAAGGCGUAAAAAAUGGCUAUGAUCCUAAGUCAGGAAACCUGCUUGUUUAAUAAUUUCUGA
rnacentral:ncRNA from 2 species